rnacentral:rRNA from 1 species
UACGUAGGGGGCAAGCGUUGUCCGGAAUUAUUGGGAGUAAAGAGCGCGUAGGCGGUCCGAUAAGUCGGCUGGGAAAGUCAGGGGCUCAACCCUUGAAAGCCGGCCGAUACUGUCGGACUAGAGUCCGGAAGAGGCGAGUGGAAUUCCCGGUGUAGCGGUGAAAUGCGCAGAUAUCGGGAGGAACCCCAAUGGCGAAGGCAGCUCGCUGGGACGGUACUGACGCUGAGGCGCGAAAGCGUGGGGAGCGAACAGG